rnacentral:rRNA from 1 species
AUGCACGCUGGCGGCGUGCCUAAUACAUGCAAGUCGAGCGAACAGACGAGGAGCUUGCUCCUCUGACGUUAGCGGCGGACGGGUGAGUAACACGUGGAUAACCUACCUAUAAUACUGGGAUAACUUCGGGAAACCGGAGCUAAUACCGGAUAAUAUAUUGAACCGCAUGGUUCAAUAGUGAAAGACGGUUUUGCUGUCACUUAUAGAUGGAUCCGCGCCGCAUUAGCUAGUUGGUAAGGUAACGGCUUACCAAGGCAACGAUGCGUAGCCGACCUGAGAGGGUGAUCGGCCACACUGGAACUGAGACACGGUCCAGACUCCUACGGGAGGCAGCAGUAGGGAAUCUUCCGCAAUGGGCGAAAGCCUGACGGAGCAACGCCGCGUGAGUGAUGAAGGUCUUCGGAUCGUAAAACUCUGUUAUUAGGGAAGAACAAAUGUGUAAGUAACUAUGCACGUCUUGACGGUACCUAAUCAGAAAGCCACGGCUAACUACGUG